AGUGAACGCUGGCGGUAGGCCUAACACAUGCAAGUCGAACGGCAGCACAGUAAGAGCUUGCUCUUACGGGUGGCGAGUGGCGGACGGGUGAGGAAUACAUCGGAAUCUACUUUUUCGUGGGGGAUAACGUAGGGAAACUUACGCUAAUACCGCAUACGACCUACGGGUGAAAGCAGUGGAUCUUCGGACCUUGCGCGAUUGAAUGAGCCGAUGUCGGAUUAGCUAGUUGGCGGGGUAAAGGCCCACCAAGGCGACGAUCCGUAGCUGGUCUGAGAGGAUGGUCAGCCACACUGGAACUGAGACACGGUCCAGACUCCUACGGGAGGCAGCAGUGGGGAAUAUUGGACAAUGGGCGCAAGCCUGAUCCAGCCAUACCGCGUGUGUGAAGAAGGCCUUCGGGUUGUAAAGCCCUUUUGUUGGGAAAGAAAAGCAGCAGGUUAAUACCCCGCUGUUCUGACGGUACCCAAAGAAUAAGCACCGGCUAACUUCGUG
rnacentral:rRNA from 1 species